rnacentral:lncRNA from 1 species
GGCCGUGGUCUCGCACUGCUUCUGGAGGCUCCCAUUCCAGCCAGAGGAGAGUCAGGGACCCCAAACGGAGGGACUGGCUGAAGCCAUGGCAGAAGAACGUGAAUUGUGAAGAUUUCAUGGACAUUUAUUAGUUCCCCAAAUUAAUACUUUUAUAAUUUCUUAUGCCUGUCUUUACUGCAAUCUCUAAACAUAAAUUGUAAAUAUUUCAUGGACACUUAUCACUUCUUCAAUCAAUACCCUUGUGAUUUCCUAUGCCUGUCUUUACUUUAAUCUCUUAAUCCUGUCAGCUGAGGAGGAUGUAUGUCGCCUCAGGACAAUAUGAUAAUUGCGUUAACUGCACAAAUUGUACAGCAUGUAUGUUUGAGCAAUAUGAAAUGUGGGCACCUUGAAAAAAGAACAGGAUAACAGCAAUUGUUCGGGGAAUAAGAGAGAUAGCCUUAAACUCUGAAUGCCGGUGAGCCGGAUGGAACAGAGCCAUAUUUCUCUUCUUUCAAAAGCAAAUGGGAGAAAUAUGGCUGAAUUCCUUUUCUCAGCAAGGAACAUCCCUGAGAAAGAGAAUACGCACCUGGAGAUAUAGGCCUAUGAACGGCCCCCCCAGGUGCACCUGUCUUUUAUGGUCAAGACUGCAGGGGUGAAAUAAACCCCAGUCUCCCAUAGCACUCCCAGGCUUAUUAGGAAGAGGAAAUUCCCACCUAAUAAUUUUGGUCAGACCGGUUGCUCUCAAAACCCUGUCUCCUGAUAAGAUGUUAUCAAUGACUAUGGUGCCCGAAUCUUCAUUAGCAAUUUUAAUUUCACCUUGGUCCUGUGGUCCUGUGAUCUCGCCCUGCCUCCACUUGCCUUGUGAUAUUCUAUUACCUUGUAAAGUACUUGAUGUCUGUGACCCACACCCUAUUCGUAUACUCCCUCCCCUUUUGAAACUCCCUAAUAAAAACUUGCUGGUUUAACGGCUUGUGGGGCAUCACAGAAUCUACCGACA